CCAAAAACAAUAAUAUUUAUUCAUUCAAACUCAUAAGAAAUACAUCAAUCGAAAUCAUUACAUUUUUAAUUCGCUAAAAACUAAUAAGGAUGAAUCUGUAAACAGGCUCUCAACAUCCGAGUUAAUAACAUAAAACGGCCUAAUGUCUAUGAGAAAGCCUACAAUUAGUAUGACAAACUUCAAAUGUCUGGAAUAAUCAUAUAUUCGGACAUGCAACGCUGAUGAUGCUAAAAUCAUUGAAUCUGCAUUAAAUUUGGAUCGAAACAAACCUACAAAUUUGAACCAAAAAAACAAAUAUCGUACCAAGACGGGACAAACUUCGUACUAAGACGGGAAAUAAAAAACAAAUACUCCGCACUAAGGGGGAUUAAAACAACACAAGAUGAAGAAAUGAUAAGAGAGAAAACUCGAAUAAAACCUAAAAAAAUUGUGGAUAUCACUUAUUUGAAUAAAAAGAAAUAAAAAACUAUCAAGAAGGGUGAUUCCGGAUCAAAAUUAUCCUAAACAACCCCACUCUAAUUAAUAAACCAAGAGAAAGAGAUAGUAGAAAAGUUGCUCAUCUCAUAUCUCAUUUGAUAACGGUUACUUAUAGCAAAACAUCCAAUAAACUUUUAAUAAAAUUUGAUUUCGUCGUAUAAUUUUAAAUUUACCAUAUCUUGAAUAAAUCCUACAAACUUGAAGGCGGCUAAGCGAUCAAGACCAUCGCCUAAUUAGGCCAUACAAUCAGUNNNNNNNNNNNNNNNNNNNNNNNNNNNNNNNNNCGGUUCAUUUGUAAUUUACACAUGAGAGAAUAAAGUAUGGUAUCUCAUUACUCCCUCCGAUUCUUAUUAUAGGAAAAAGUUUACUUUUAUAUUCAUAGAAUGUUGAGUGUAUCUAGUCAAUAAUAUGGGUCAGAUACAUCCAACAUUCUAUGAAUCUAAAAAGUAAACUUCUUCUUAUGAUAAAGAUCGGAUGGAAUAUUUAUCAAGAGAGAAACGCUUUCUUCUAAAUUUUGUAUAGUAUAAAAUGACAAAAACACCUACAAAUGUGAGAAAUUAAAAGGUCUGUAAUAGAAUAUAUAAUUGCCUUUAUAAUUGCCUUGUCUUUUCAUAUAUGAAAAACAUGUAUAUAUACAGACGUGUUGUAUCAGCUUGAUUCUAUACAAUCAAAGCCUUUUUAAUUUACAUAAAUAUAUUACUAAAGGCUANNNNNNNNNNNNNNNNNNNNNNNNNNNNNNNNNNNNNNNNNNNNNNNNNNNNNNNNNNNNNNNNNNNNNNNNNNNNNNNNNNNNNNNNNGCUUCAUUAUAAUGAUAUCAUUAAUUUGUGCACCAUACACUACAUGCAUCACUCGUGGAUGUUAGAAUUGGCCCACAAUACAUACUAACUAAGAAAAGUGGCAACAAAAGUUGCAUUUUCUUUUUGAUAUUAACAAUCCUCGGUUUUUUUUUACGCAUUAUCCUCUAAUUUUUAGAAGAAGAAUACAGUAGAAACUCUUUAAAUUAAUAAUGUCAGGACCGGAGAAAUGUAUUAAUUUAGAGAGUUAUUAAUUUAUCGAUAAAUUAAUAUAUAUUAAUUUAAAGAGUUUUUAAGUAAUUAUAUUGUACAUACGAAAUAAAAAGACAAAUUAGUCUAUGUCUCUUAGAAUUACGUUGCAGCGAACCUUGAGACUCGACGUAAAUUAGUAACUAAUGUGUUCAUAUGCAUUGGAAAUCAAUAAUGACUUUUGAAGUACAGUAAAUGUAAACAAGAGGAACAAAUGUGUUCAAUGUAUUCUUAAACUAUUGAAUCAUAUUUCAAUAGAGUGUACUCCCUCCGUCCCAAAAUAUAAGGGAAAAUUGGUCAACCAAAGUUGAUGUAUCUAGUCCAAACUUUUAACCAAAUACAUCAACUUUCUUUGACCAAUUUUCCCUUAUAUUUUGGGACAGAGUAGUAAUAUAUUUUUUCCAGUUUCUAUGAAUUAUUAAUUUAUGAUUUUUUUGGGACCGAAAAUUAUAAAGGGAUCUCCUGAAAAAUUAUUAUCUUAUUAUUUCAUCGAGUUUUUCAAUUUUUUACAUUGGCCCAAGUCGGGACCGGACAAAUUUAUUAUUUUAGAGAGUUUAUUAAUUUACCGAGUAUUAAUUAAAAGAGUUUUUACUGUAUUAUGAUAAUAUGAAGUUCGGUCGUGAAUUAAAUAAAGUUUGAUUAAGAAUAAUUUUUUUCAAGAAUUGAAUUUGAAUUGUCUCAUACAGUUCAUUCUAAGGACGAUUUAUAAACCACUUAAGUUCAAUUACUUACUCCCUCCGUUCUAAAACUUUGGUCUUUUAGGGUGCGUUUGAUCUGCUAAAAAAUAAGGGACUAGACAAGACAACUUUUGUUGUGCUGUGUUUGAUUUUAAAACUGUUUCUGGUACUGGACAAACCGGGGGCCAAGGAUAGGACAAAAACUGAAAUUCUUGUCCCCACAGAACCACAUGACAAUUUUUUGUCCUCUACACAAGUUGUCUAAAAUACCAAAAUAAAUUUUUGUUCACGAAACAUCGUACAACACAAAGUUUGUUCAAUACCUUAAACGUUUGUCUUAUGAUGUUCUAUCUUGUACUGUCAUGUACUGUUCUGUCGGGUACUUAUAUUUUACGGAUUAAACGGACCCUUAGAGUUUUGCACACGGAUUAAACAAUAAAGAUUGAUAAGUUAAGUCAAUUUUACCCUUAUUUUAUUAAGAAAGAGAAAAUUCAUUUAAUUAAUUCUUUAAUUUUUGUAAUGGUACAAACGGUAAAAUAUCAUUAAUUGUCCAUUAAUUUCUUAAAAGAACCAAAAAUUUGUAACAAAACUAAUAAACUAAAAUGAUCAAAAAUUUAGGAAGGAGGGAGUAUUCAAUAAAUGUUUGUUUAUUUGAUAAAGAGUUGUCUCGUACUCCCUAAAAUGUGAGUUCAACUCUAGUUACUGGCCACAAAUCUUUGUCAACACUCUAUGAACUUUACCUUAUCCUUAAUAUAUGCUCAUCUUUUUUUUUUUUACUCAAAAACAAUAAUAUUCAUUCAUUCAAACUAAUAAGAAAUACAUCAAUCGAAAUCAUUACAUUUUUAAUUCGCUAAAAACUAAUAAGGAUGAAUCUGUAAACAGACUCACAACAUCCGAGUUAAUAGCAUAAAACAGCUUAAUGUUUAUUUGAAAGCCUACAAUCAGUAUGACAAACUUCAAAUGUCCGGAAUAAUCAUAUAUUCGGACAUGCAACGCUGAUGAUGCUAAAAUCAUUGAAUCUGCAUUAAAUUUGGAUCGAAACAAACCUGCAAAUUUGAACCAAAAAAACAAAUAUCGUACCAAGACGGGACAAACUCCGUACUAAGACGGGAAAUAAAAAACAAAUACUCCGCACUAAGGCGGGAUUAAAACAACACAAGAUGAAGAAAUGAUAAGAGAGAAAACUCGAAUAAAACCUUAAAAAAAUUGUGAAUA
rnacentral:lncRNA from 1 species